rnacentral:rRNA from 1 species
AUUGAACGCUGGCGGCAGGCCUAACACAUGCAAGUCGAGCGGAGCGGCGGACGGGUGAGUAAUGCCUAGGAAUCUGCCAGGUAGUGGGGGAUAGCGUCCGGUAACGGGCGCUAAUACCGCAUCCUCUCAGCUGAGCCUAGGUCGGAUUAGCUAGUGGGUGGGGUAAUGGCUCACCUAGGCGACGAUCCCUAGCUGGUCUGAGAGGAUGACCAGCCACACUGGAACUGAGACACGGUCCAGACUCCUACGGGAGGCAGCAGUGGGGAAUAUUGCACAAUGGGCGCAAGCCUGAUGCAGCCAUGCCGCGUGUGUGAAGAAGGCCUUCGGGUUGUAAAGCACUUUCAGCGGGGAGGCGUUACCCGCAGAAGAAGCACCGGCUAACUCCGUGCCAGCAGCCGCGGUAAUAC